CCUAUAAAUCUACUUUUAUUCAUAGAUUUUAACUGAUAUAACGUUAAAUGCCAUCAAAGAGGAGUAGUGUUUUGUAUUUUUGUAGGUUUUCUCUUUCAAUUUAAUAAAUAAAUGCUCUGUUUGGUUAAUUAGCUCAAAAUCAGUCUCAGAGGUGGUCUAAGGUAACGGUAACUGUUAAAAUCGAAUAUAACCUUACCUGUUUUAAAUUAUUUGAAAUUUAUCACUAUAAACUAUACAGUAUUAACUUUCUAAUAAUUAAAUUUUUAACCGUAGUAACGUUAAUUAGUUUGUUUGAAUACCUGCUGCUCGAGCUUGAUGAUGCUCAUGCUAGCCAUGCUGUGAACUUGAAUAUAAACCGGUAGAACGUUAAAUAUAAAGUUUAACGUUAGUUAGACCGAGGCUGCCGAAAUCAUGUUCAGUGUAACGUUAUGUGGGAUUAAUAAUUUCCCCUUUUCUCCCUCAAGUGGCAGGCUUGUAAAUUCUGUCAUCUGUUCAUUAUUGGUGUUGAUGGUGUUUUUCACAUGCAUGCUUUUUAAUGCUAGUUUAAUUCUCAAAUUGAUCUGAUACUUUCGUUUCACAAAAAGUAAACAAAUUGUUCACUUUCUUAGGGCCUGACAACCACCAGUUGAGUCCAUGAUUCAGGGAAGAGACAGUCUGGGCAGCAGCAACAAGACAACUAUUACAAGUAGAGAUGGGUUUCAAGAACUGACACAACCACAUAUCCUCCAAAUCAUCUCUGCGUGGAUGGCAGCAAGGAUCCAGGAUCAAGAGAUCAUUCUUCAUGGAGACUGUUCCACAGGAAGCAGUUUCUCCUGGGUCAUCCUGACCAUUCUGCUGUCCUGGAUAUUUGAGGGAAAGAUUAAAAACAAGGAGGUCUGGGAAUGACUGAAGGGAACUGACAGCAGUGAGGGAAGGAAGUAAUCACCAGAAUCUCAGAGAAGGAUGUUGACAGUGCAGGCCCAGGAUGAAGAAGAGGAGGAAGAACACGUUUAACAAUUUUCUCAUAAGCUUGCCAUGUGUUAUAAUAAAAACAAUGAACAUGGCUACAAUAAUAUGCUAAAUGUUAUUAAAAGAUUCCAGUUUGCAAAAAGUCUGAGUGUCUGACUCUACACUAGAGGAACUCUUUUCUGAAGAAGAUCAGGUGCUGAGAAGAAGCCUUGUUCUACAGCAAAACACUGCAUCUAGCCUCCUGUCCUUCCCUCAGAAGAGCCUGUCUUCUGCUGCUGGGGUAAGAAACACACUCUUCCUCUUCUCUAUCAGCUGUCCAGCACCUAACUCUGCCUCCUCAGCACUGUCUGAAAGAGUCAUCUCCACAGUCGGUAAUCACAGAUCACAGAUUCUUCUGAGAAAGUAGAUAUGCUCAUUUUCUUAAAAAACUUUGUUUUUUCGGGUGGGACAAAUAAUACAGGAGAGAUGCUAGAAAUCUCUAGAUUGUUCAUUUUUCAUAUCUUUACGCUUUAUGAAUGUUUUUCUUCUGAGAAGCUCAAAAAUUAUGGUUCUUUGGUAAUUGUUAUAUUGUUUAGUUUUAUCCUCUGAUAGUGAGCACAGAGCCCUGAUCAUGACAUGCAAGAAAAAGAAAGAAAUCAUGUCCAUGAUUUACUAAUUCGUUCCCUCUAUGUACUAAACGUGCACGAUUACUUUUACAUUUCAUUGAUUUGCUAAAUCGUAUGCACAAUUUACUAAUUCGUUCUCUUGAUGUAUAAAUAGUGUACACGUUUUAGCAAAUCGAGGGAAUGAAAUAGAAAAUCGUGCGCAUGAAUUAGCCUAAAUUUUUUCCUGCAUGUCGUGUAAUUAAAGCACAUCACCAUCAGACAUUUAUAACAGGAGCCUCAUAUAUGACGCUCACAGUUUUACUUUGUGCAGUAUCUCGGUGCAGUAUCUGCUGAAUUGUUUCAUAUCUAUUUAUCAUGUAUUUUUUGUUGCACUAAAUUAUGUUGUAUCAAUAAGUUUACUGAUAAUUAUUUAUAAUUUUCACUGAUAAACGUCAUUAACCAUCUCCCCAUCUUUAAGACAAAAAUUUUCUAUUGUUUAUAUUGUGUAAUCUAUGAAUUGAUGUGUUUAGUUUUCUGUGCUCAUAACUUAGUAACAUUUUGCAUGUUUAAAGAACAGGUGCGAUGUUCAAAAUGUUUUGGCUUCGUAUUUGUACAAAGUAGUGCUGAAUAAAUAUUGAUUUGUGAAUGAA